UCAAUGCUACCAUAAAAACAAUUUCAACAUUCUUAAGACUGUGGUUCUCACUUAGUUACACAGAAUUUUCACUCAUUAUUUAGAAGUUGCUUCCUGACCAAGAUCAACUGCCCUGAGUUGGGCCACAGGGAGUGUGGGAACAUAAAAGAAUUGGUGAACACUGAAUUUCACGCAAUUGUAAGAAGUCAAAGUUUAUGCUGCAAUUCUCACAGAAUAUUAUAGGUCACCCUCAAGCUAGGGAGUAUUUAUUGACCACAAAGCUUCUGCCAAUAAGUAAUAUAGUUACUCAUUUAUUUGUGAGCCACAUAUAGGAAGUAUCUUUCUUCUGAAAGAGCUUGUGUUUUUACUUAUUUUUUUCAAAAAUUUCCAAUGUUUAUUUUUGAAAAAGAGAGAGAGAGUGUGCAUGCAAGAGCAUGCUCAAGCAGGGGAGAAGCAGAGAGAGAGGGAGGCGCAGAAUCGAAAGCCAGGUUCCAGGCUCUGAGCCGUCAGCACAGAGCCCAAUGUGGGGCUCAGACUCACAAACCGUGAGAUCAUGGCCAGAGCGAAAGUCAGAUGCUUAACCGACUCUGCCACCCAGGUGCCCCAGGAGUUUGUGUUUCGAACUUGGAAUAACAAAUAGAGCAUUUAAGUAAAGCAGAAUCACUGAAGGGAGUUCUUGGAUUAAAAAGUAGAGAAUGAAACAUGGGUGGUGCUAUCAUGCCCCCAAAAAGUUUCUAGUGUCUUUCCCAGCGCUUGUCUGCAGUGGUCCCUGGGGAGGAAGCUAACAAAGCAGACAAGAAGAUGCCAUCCCGUUCAAGGCAGCAAACCAGGGGUGCUUGCGAAGGUGAAAAUUAUGAAAUAGAUGAUUUUUCCAGGAUUCCUCCCCCCAGAACCUGGAGGGAGCAGAGGGUCAGAGAUAAAGGAGCCCACGGCGUCCGAGUAAGUGUUCUCUUCCCAGGCUUAUAGUAGAAUGAGCAGGGUCUGAAUGUAGAACUAGGUUCCGAUGCCACAUCAGAUGCAGACUUGCACCUAAAGCAAACUGGAGUCGACACCUGUGCUUAGUAAUACUCUAGGUGUAAAGGACUCAGUAAGGUUACAGGUGCCCUGAGGCUCAGGUAUGUCAGCAUGUGCUGCUAGAGAUACUCACUCCACUGACAUGCAUCCUCAUCACAAUGACACAGGAACCCCACUGGUAGCAAGCGCACAAGCCCUGCCCAUAAUAAAGGCUCAGGCUUAUACAUACACAUAUGUAACAGCUUUGGGGAAUUAUCCAAAAGAAUCCCAACUUUCAGGAAGGAACAGUGCACCUCAGAAUGGGUACUACCAGGAAAUGCCCAGACAUCCUGGGGAAGAGGGAGCUCAAAGAACCCUACCUUGAGACAUCCUACAUAAAAACAAUCUCCCCUGGACCUGAGAAGGCAGGCAGAAAGGUUUGUCGAGGAAGGCUUCAUGGAAUGAUGGAAUUGUUUGAAAUCAUUGAAAAACAGAAGAAUCUUGCUCAGUAAAGCUGGAUGCAAAGGGCAUAAGAUUUCUAUCGUAUGUGAAAGCAGACAUAAAGUCCAGGAAGUUGGGAAAAUGAAGAAAAAGUACAUUUCAAGGGAUAUACGCACCAAGAAGGGAGGAAUCAAAAAUAUAGUCUGUAUCAACCUGGAAACUGAAGACAAAAACUGAAAUUAUCUAUAAUUAUAUCCAUAUCCAUAGAGACAUUAUGCAAAAUAAUCUUAUGUUACGUAGGCACCGUUGCUGCUGUGGAAUAAGCUGUAUUUUAAAGACGUGGUGACUUUAAGUGGCUCUCACAAGGACGUUGGCUGGAAUGGAACAUUAAAACAACUGUGAUCUUCUGGCUCUGCCCCGUGUCUGUUUCAUAAACUGGCCUUGUCAAGAUGAAAAAUGUCAUGCCAUCCACAACCUGAAGAGGCAUGUCUGCGAAAGGACAAUAGGAACAGAGUCUGUCACUUCCCCUCAUUACAUAUACAGAUGGAUUAUUUCUAGUACUUCUGGCCAGAUUGUUUUGUUUCAUCUCUACCUGUGACUGAGCUAUGGGUGCUGCUGAAAAUUUUACACCCAUAAUACAAGCAUUCCCCCUCACGCAACAAGUCAGCACACAGUUUAUGGCAGAUAUUAAUUACGGCGGCUUUCCUUUGUCAUUGUACCUCUCUUUGACGUAAGUAAAGCCAGUGACUCAGAAUUCUGGGCCCACAUCAUGGGGAUGUGGCAGCACUAACAGAAAAAUGAACAAGCCCGGAGAUGGGAAAAAUCUGUAAGAGGACUGAUUUAAACGGGAGAAGCCAUCUGUCACCAAAGACCUUUCUGCCCCCAGGCCUGCUGAUAUCAGUCAGAAAACAAGGUCACAAGGCUUCAGGACCAAGGAUCGUCAAGAAGGAAAGUUCACGGUGGCUUAUUGACAAGAUUGAAGAAAAACUCCUCAGAAAUUAAUAACAAGCACCUGACAGAUAUGCCUGCUGUCUCCAAUGCAAGACAUCCCAUGACGUUCGGUAAUUAAUGAUGCCAAAAAGGUGGAUCAAUUCAUGCUUUGCUCUUGAACUCCCUGGGGACACUCUUGCAACACUAUUGGUAUUCUCUGUGCUUUCGGGUAUGGUCAUUGGAUAGGUUCCUUGUUAAAGUUGCAUGAAAAGAAAAAGAUUCCACUGAGCCAACAGAUAGCAGUGAUUCCAUUAGUGAUAGUGAAAGUCAUCCUACACAAUAACCCUCCUCUGUCUUGUGUCUCUCACACCAGCCACGAAGGUUUUCAAAGAGGCUGCCAUGAUGCAUCACAGUCCUGACCCCAGAGCCAGAGAAUGAGGGAGCCAGGGAUCGAGACAUCCUGUCGAGCCGCAGUCGGAGGAGAAAACCGGAAUGAAAGAAUAGUUGGGCCUCGCCAGGCAGAGGGGUUAGACACCUCCAUGUCGAGGCCAGAGGUUUCCAGAGAGGAGGCGGAGUUCCACACGGAGGCAUCAGAUAGAAGUUUUCAGUUUGGGUCACUAUUAUUUCUUAAGAACCUUGCCAGGCACUCUCAGAUCUCGAGCCCUUGUCCCUCGGCAUCUGACCCCUGCUGCUGUCUGCCUCCACCCCUGCCCGUGGCUUCUGUGUCCUUUCUGGCCACACAGACCAAAGGGCCUCGCCUAACAUCAGCAGAAUCAUACAAUCUUAGAAUGGGAAGGACACUUCCAUGCAAAUACCUAAGACCCUAUCUAGCUUUUUGGUUUUUGUUUUUUAAUUUUGCUGCUGCGGGAGUAGAGAAUUUAAUGUGGGUGCAGUGAUAUCCUCACUCUGACACACUUCUGGCAUUUCCUCUUUUCCGAGCAUAUGGGUGACCCUGAGCUCAUCACCUCAGAGAAGAGAUCCAGCUGGUCAGAAAGUAGAAACGGCCCAAGAGCGCUUUUUGUCUCCGCGUCUUGAAGGGGGGAGCUUAGAGUUUUGGACCUGGCGUGUAGACGAAUCGUGUGGGAGAAACCGGGGUCAGAGAGGAUGGUGGGUCCAGGAGCCAAGUUUCCCUUCUUUCUAGGCAGUGCCCCCCGGGAGGUAGCAAGACCCCCAGAGAGCAAACGGCUUCUCCCAGACUCGGCCCAGGGGUCCAUCACCUCUUAAAGUUUCCCCGCCCUUAAGCGAUGAAGCAGAGCAUCUGCGCGAGGCCCGCAUCCUGAAGGGCCACAAGGGCAACUGCAUGCAGUCUCAGGGUGACGCGGCUCCAGCAGGUGACUCAGGCUCCGAAGCGCCCCCUCUUGGUGACCGGCCAAAGCACAUGUAAAUCCCUCUCGGGCCUUUGCCUCAACCCCACGGAAAGAGGGAGAAACCCAAAAUUACCUGAGACUGUUAUUCUUUUUUUUUUUAAGUUUAUUUAUUUAUAUCGAGAGAGAGAGAGAGAAAACCCGUGGGGGAGGAGCCGAGAGAGGAGGGGAGAGAGUAUCCGAGGCAGGCUCCGCGCUGACAGCCCAGGGCCCGAUAUGGGACUCAAACUCACAAACUGUGAGAUCAUGAUCCCGGCCGAAGUCGGGCGCUCAACUGAGCCACCCAGGCACCCCCUGAGAUGGUUCUUCUUAGCCUGACAGUGGGAGGAUUGAACAUAGAGUUGAGUUGCAAGAAAUGUUAUUUUUCUGGAUUCACUGAGUCUGUGAACUAAGACACCUGUGUCUCCUGUUCACGUAAAACACCGACAACCACAUAUAAUAAAAGGUUGAAAUGUUACAUGUCUUAUUGACAAUAUUGUAUCAGUGAACCCACCGUCUGCUACAGAAUCUGAAAGGUGUUUUUUCACGCGUACCACUGCCAGUUGAGCUUUAUGUGGUUCAUACGUCCAGGUGGAAGAAUGUUGGGUCAGUUUCCUGCUCUUUCAAAAUCCGUUCUUAAAAAAAAAAAAAAGAGGGGCACCUGGGUGGCUCAGUCGGUUGAACGUCCGACUCCAGCUCAGGUCAUGGUCUCGGGUUUUGUGGGUUCAAGCCCCAUGUCGGGCUCUGUGCUGACAGCUCGGAGCCUGGGGCCUGCUUCGGAUUCUGUGCCUCCCUCUCUCUCUGCCCCUCCCCCACUCACGCUCUGUC